AAAAAAAAAAAGGGAUCCCUAACCCUAGAGACCCCCAGUCGUUCCCCUCAUCUCACUUUCUUCUUCUUCACCCUUAAUACACACAACACCAAAAACCCUAAUCUCCAUAACCACCUUCAGCCGCCGGCCACCUCCUCACCUCUCACACACAAGACAUCUCCACCUUUCUUCUUCAACCUGAAGACACCAAAAAACCCUAGACAUCAAAGAACCUUAGAACACUGAACUAACCCUAAGCAGCUGUCCACCCUCUUCUACACAUACAAAACAGCCAACCAUCUCCAGCCGUCAAUGGACCACCACAACAACUAGCCAUCGCCGGAACAACCACCCACCAGACCCCUCCAUCGUCACUCUAACCUAGACCCUAACUGUCCCUAAGCCUGAGCCAUCCAAACUCCGUCCCCUCUUCACCCCAAUCAGCCCCAUCACUUGAAACCGGCGACUGAACACAGCCGCACCAGUCGUCCACACCACCUCAUCUCCGCUGCCGAGAAUCUUCACAGCCACCGACCCUCAUCUCUUCGAAACCAGCAGAAGCCGCGCGAGAGGGCAGCGACAAGAGGUCGCGAAAACAGAUCUGAGAAUUCUGUUUCUGUUUCUUUCAUAUUUCAAAAAAUGAUGUUUCUAUUUUGAGUUAGCUAGGAUUUGUGUUCCAGAAAAUAUAUACAAAAAAAAUAUUUUCAAUUUCAUCUUCAAUUCUGAUUUUUCUAAAAAAUGGAGUUAUGUGAGGUUCAAGUUUGAUUUUCGGUCUUGAUUCGAGGUGUUGUUCGCAGUGCGGUUCUCGAACCCGUUUGAGUUUGACUGCUGUCUCGAGUUUGUUAUAGCGUUCGCUCGAUUUUUGUCCGUGUAUUACUGGAAAAUUCAUCAAUUGAAAGUUCGAUUUUCAGUUUUCAUAGUUGCUGAAGUUCUGUUAAUUGGAAAGCAAUUUCAGUGCCGGCGAUGCCAAUCCAAUUUACAGGUGACCCGUUCGAGGUCCGGGUCUAGCUCUUAUCAUCUUAUUUCCAAUCGCAGUCCAUUUUUUCUGGUCAGUUGGCUAACAUUGGAGAUCUUGCAUUCAUUGAGGUUCUAAGGCAGGUGCAUCUGGAGUUCGUCCGGGCGCGUAUCCGCAUACCCGGAGGCUUAGUGGUAAGCUAUUUUUUCCAUGCUCUGUUCUGCAGCACCCAGAGUCUUCUCUUAUUAUGUUUUUUAUCAUUUCUGUCUAUUUUGUUUCAGACAAUAGUUCUUAGAGAGUUUUAUAUAUUAUAUUAGACGCUCGUGCACUUGUGACAUCGAGUUUUGGGAAUUCUAGUAGACACUCAUGGGUUUUAAUUAUUAAUUCACUAUCUUAUUUUCCCGAUUAGUUUAUGCUUUACAUUACUGUGCUCACUUUUUAUUUUUUCUCAUGUUAAAUAAAAGAAUCAAAGACUUUAAAAAUAUUAAAAUGAGAAAUUAAAUAGAAAGUUCACAGUUGGCUUGCCUAGCGGCGACGUUGUGCGCCAUCACGAUCUAUAGUGGAAAUUGGGUAGUGACAAUGAGCAUGUCUGAAGAAUAUUCUCAAUUCUAAGCCACUAAAGAUUAUUAAAAUCUAAAAUUUUAAGGAGCCUGGCAGGUGAAGAAAACAAAAGGAAAUUAUAUUCAUUAAACGUGCCUUAAAUCAUUAGAAGCAUAAAAAUAAAAUAAAUAUAGUAGAGGAGGGAAGAUCAAACUUGAAGAUGGAGAUAAAUAUACUAAUUAAUAAGAGAGAAGAAAAUUUUAUCAUAAUUUGUUCACUCAGUCGAACAACCUUGACUAAAUCCAAAAAAGCAUAUAGUUUAGAACACUUUACUAAGGAUAAUUAUACAUACUAUAUGGUAUACAUAAUACUUAAUACUUGAGUAGUACUUUUUACUCCAAGAACACUGUAUAUAAAGAGAUAUUAGGUCAGAUACAAAACAUAAUAUAUCAUAUUAUCUUCAUAAAAAUAUAUAUAAAUACAAAAGUUAUAUAAUUAACGUACAUAGAUUCUUAAUCUUUGCAAGUUCAGAAGAUACCCAGUAACUCUACGUUCAACAAUUUCGCCAAUGUAACAUUUAUUUUUAAUUUAAAUAAAUAUUGCAUUUAUCUCGACGUCAAUUGGUAUUGCACACAAUUCAUUCUUAUUCUCAAUUUUAUUCCCUUUUUAUUAAUAGACGUAAAAAAAUACGUGCAACGCACGUACACUAAAACUAGUUAUAACAAAAAUAACUAAAGGCAAAAUCAUCGAUCAUAUCAAUAUAUAUAUAUAUAUAUAUAUAUAUAUAUAUUAUAUUAUUAUACUAAAAGUAAGAAGCCUCUAUGUUAAAAGUUAAAUUACAAAAAUAUCCAUAAAAAACCGAGUGACUAUUUUCCCUUAAUCAAACACUAUAAACUCCUAUAAUCAAUAUAAAUUCUACAUUAAUUCUGUAUACAUGUGCAUGCAUUUUUUCAAAUAGAAAUGAAUUCAGGUAAAUAACUUCCUUCAGUUAAUACUAGAAACUAUAUACACUGUAUUAGGUUUGCCUUUUCUUUUCUUUGAGUAAAAAAGCGCUUGCUACCAGUUCAUGGAUGAAAGAAUGACUUUUAAGUUUCUUCUUUUAUUUUAUUUAUUUCAUCCAAGUAAGUUAUAGGCGUUUCAGUUUCUCUUCUUCAUUUCAUUAUUUAUGACGCAUUUAUUUUGAGUUUUAAGAGUAACCAAUAUUAAAAGGCCCAAAGAUACCUAGGCAGCAGAAGCAUCAAACUCCAAAAUUGUGCUUGGCGAAAAUGAUUAUCUCAGUUUGCUGUUUCACCUGGGUGAAGGUGUUGACUAAGAUAAAGUUUGCCGAGUUAUGUAGCUAAGAGCUGCAUUUUAUACGGUUUUGUAAUGUAUACCAAGUUGAUGAAGUGUCGUUGUGAUAGGUAGCAAGUGGUGUAAAUAGUUUGUACAUUCUUGUCCUCAUGUAUGUGAAGUUAAUCAUUUUUCUUUCAAUUUUACAUCUGCAUAUAUCUAUGUUUAACACUACAGUAUGAAGGUUUACUUUACAAAACAGUU